GGAAAAAUUGUGACAAACUGCAAUAUCAGAGAGAUCAACCAAAUUGUAUUCCAAAAGGAAAGGAACUGAAAUGAGUUAUGCAGAUAAUGAUAUGCUGCAAAUUGCCAUUAAACUCUCAUGAUCUUAGUAGUACUAGUUUCUAUCUCACUACAAAAUGGUGAAUGGAUGGAUGACUAACUUGUAUGCAGUAAUUAAUAUCUCAAGUUUAAGAUAGUUUGCAAUAAAUUGCUAUCCUCAUGUUAUCAAGUGGUAUGAGCAUUCCCAAAUCUGUGUUCUGAAUAGGCUUUUAGCCAGGAAUUUCUUGGUGCCUC
rnacentral:misc_RNA from 1 species